CAAGUCGGCCGGGCGGCCGCGGGCGCACGCCCGAGGAAAGUCCGGACACCACAGGGCAGAGUGGUGGGUAACGCCCACCCGGGGUGACCCGCGGGAAAGUGCCACAGAAAACAGACCGCCCCGCUGCUGCGGGGUAAGGGUGAAACGGCGGUGUAAGAGACCACCAGCGCCACAGGUGACUGCGGCGGCUCGGCAAACCCCACUCGGUGCAAGAUCAAGAGGGCCGGCGGCAGUCGGCCUGCGCAGACGGACGGCCCGUCCGAUGUCUGCGGGUAGGUCGCAACAGGCCGUCGGCGACGGCGGUCGCAGAUGGAUGGUCGCCCCCGCGCAAGCGGGACAGAAUCCGGCUUACAGGCCGGCUUGUCAC
rnacentral:RNase_P_RNA from 1 species